AUUGAACGCUGGCGGCAUGCUUUACACAUGCAAGUCGGACGAGUGGCGAACGGGUGAGUAACGCAUCGGAACGUACCGAGUAAUGGGGGAUAACUGUCCGAAAGGACAGCUAAUACCGCAUAUUAUUCGAGCGGCCGAUGUCUGAUUAGCUGGUUGGCGGGGUAAAGGCCCACCAAGGCGACGAUCAGUAGCGGGUCUGAGAGGAUGAUCCGCCACACUGGGACUGAGACACGGCCCAGACUCCUACGGGAGGCAGCAGUGGGGAAUAUUGGACAAUGGGCGAAAGCCUGAUCCAGCCAUGCCGCGUGUGUGAAGAAGGUCUUCGGAUUGUAAAGCACUUUAAGUUGGGAGGCGUUACCAACAGAAUAAGCACCGGCUAACUUCGUGCCAGCAGCCGCGGUAAUAC
rnacentral:rRNA from 1 species